rnacentral:rRNA from 1 species
AGCUCCAAUAGCGUAUAUUAAAGUUGUUGCAGUUAAAAAGCUCGUAGUUGGAUUUCUCGUUCGAGGGCUUGGCCGAGGACUAACGUCCUUCGUGCCGUGGCUUACUCGGGCGUUCCUCGACCGGCUCCGUGGUGGCAUUAGGUUGUCGUUGCGGGAAAGGUCGUCGUUUACUGUGAAAAAAUUAGAGUGUUCAAAGCGAGGCUUAGGCCAUUGGAUACAUUAGCAUGGAAUAAUAAGAUAAGACCUCGAGGUUUUUAUUUUGUUGGUUUGCACCUCAAGGUAAUAGUUAACAGGGACGGUUGGGGUUAUUCGUAUUCAGAUGUCAGAGGUGAAAUUCUUGGAUUUUCGGAAGACGAACUACUGCGAAAGCAUUUAACAAGGAUGUUUUCAUUAAUCAAGA